GCCUCUGUGGUGUAGUGGUAUCACACGCGCCCGGUACGGGUAGAACGCAGGUUCAAUUACCGCCUGAGGUU